rnacentral:lncRNA from 1 species
GUGACAUCACAUGGACGUGCCAUAACACCAGGAUGGAGAGGACACGUCACAGUGACGUCACAAGGGGACACCGUGACAUCACGAUGGAGGGGACGGGUCACGGUGACGUCGCACGAGACACUGUGACAUCACGACGGAGGGGACACGUCAUAGUGACAUCACACGAGGACACCAUGACAUCACAACGGAGAGGACACAUCAUAGUGACGUCACGUGAGACGCCGUGACAUCACGAUGGAGAGGACACGUCACAGUGACAUCACACGGGGACACCGUGACAUCACGACGGAGGGGCACAUGGUGACGUGACAUCACAACGGAGGGGAUGCCCCACAGUGACGUCACANNNNNNNNNNGGGGCUGGGGGUCCCCGUCACUGUCUCCGUGGGGCUGGGGGUCCUCAUCCCCCCCCUCGGUGUCUCUGUGGGGCUGGGGGUCCUCGCUCCCCCCCUCGCUGUCUCCAUGGGACUGGGGGUCCCUCUUGGUGUCUCCGUGGGGCUGGGGGUCCUCGUCCCCCCCUCGCUGUUGUUAUGGGUCUAGGGGUCCUCCUCGGUGUCUCCGUGGGGCUGAGGGUCCCCCUUGCUUUCUCCAUGGGGCUGGGGGUCCCUCUUGGUGUCUCAGUGGGGCUGGGGGUCCUCAUCCUCCUCCUCGCUGUCCCCAUGGGGCUGGGGGUCCCCUUUGCUGUCCCCAUGGGUCUAGGGGUCCUCGUUCCCCCCCUUGCUCUCUCCGUGGGUCUGGGGGUCCUCCUCGCUGUCUCCGUGGGGCUGGGGGUCCUCAUCCCCCCCCUCGCUGUCUCCGUGGGGCUGGGGGUCCCCGUUGCUGUCCCCGUGGGGCUGGGGGUCCUCAUCCUCCCCCUCGCUGUCCCCAUGGGGCUGGGGGUCCCCCUCGGUGUCUCCGUGGGGCUGGGGGUCCUCGUCCCCCCCCUCGGUGUCCCCAUGGGGCUGGGGGUCCUCAUCCCCCCCC